rnacentral:rRNA from 1 species
UGGUAUCUUCGUCGUGGAGUCAUUCUUAUUAAAGACAACCUUACUAAGAGGAAUUGGCAUGGAAAUCCAUAAUGUGUCUUUCAUCACCAUGAUGAGACAAUAAAACAUUUAUUCUUUCAAUGCAAAUUGGCUCGUUCUAUAUGGUUAGUCAUCCAAAUAGAUUCUGCCUCGUAUCCUCCUAUAGUGUUGCUAAUAUAUUUGACAACUGGUUACAUGGGAUUGAUCACAGGUUUAUAA